UACGGAGGGCGCGAGCGUUGUCCGGAAUCACUGGGCGUAAAGGGCGCGUAGGCGGCCCUGGUAAGUCUGCGGUGAAAGCCCGGGGCUCAACCCCGGGUCGGCCGCGGGUACUGCCGGGCUGGAGUGCCGUAGGGGCAGGCGGAAUUCCGGGUGUAGCGGUGGAAUGCGUAGAGAUCCGAAAGAACACCGGUGGCGAAGGCGGCCUGCUGGGCGGCGACUGACGCUGAGGCGCGACAGCGUGGGGAGCAAACAGG
rnacentral:rRNA from 1 species